CAUCGCUGUGUUGGUCUGUUUAUUUCAGGGAUGUGACUAUGGGGCCAAGCAUUCUGAAGGUCACUAUGGCAACCUCUGUUCCAUGAGGAUGAUCAUGGGCCUAUCUAGACAGGAGGAAACAGCUGUACCUCAACAGAGCAUUAUUGGAAGGUGACGAAAGGAAGGAGGAGAUGAACACGUGUCCCUGCCACAUGUUCCGGCCCUGUGAUGCUCUGCCCAAGCUCACAAGACCAAGAAACCAUGGGCCGGACUUUCUGAAACCAGGAGCAAAAUUCAAGCUUCCGUCCCUCACAUUGUCCUGUUAAGUAUUUUGGUCACAGCUACGUAAGAGUCCCAUAAUUCGUAUACAUUUAUAUGACUCAGUAUGAUUCAAUGUGACAAAAGGAAUGUACUCAGUAAUAGAUUCAAGCAUAUUUAACCUCUCUGCAUUAUAUGCAAAUAAGAAACUAAAAUACAUAGUUAAAUUUAUGCUUAGUUUUAAAAGCACAACAUAAACAUGUGCUUAAUGUGUUAGUAGUUUAUCCUUAAAUAUUAAUAAACAUCUUUUAAAAGAUU